AGUUCUUCCCGGCCGCCGCCGCCUCCGCCCCGCCGCUUCCUCCUCCGCCUGCCGGCCUCCUUCGCCCCGCCCCGUCCGCGCAGCUCGUCCGGCCCGCCCGCAGGCCAGCUUCUCUCGGGAGCCUCCACCCAGGCGCAUGGCUCCAUGAAGCAAGAGGAGGAGGCAGAGCGCGAGAGAUCCCGUCCGCCCCAGCCGCGUCUGGGCCAGGAGAAAAGCAAAACCAUAUUCCUGCUGCUGUCAGUUUUGAUGCACUGAGAAAACUUCAGAGACCUAAGCUUUUUCCAGAGAAGAGAAGCUUUACUGGUGUUCCAGCCCUAAGAAACUUAAAUCCUCAGUGUGACACAACUCAGUCCUUCUACUGCAGCAGCUCUUUUAUAAAAGCCUCCCAAAGCUCCAAGAAGGAACAAAGAAUGUGACCCAGUAAGCUCACACCAUAAGUCUAUAUUGCAGAAACCUUUGUUCAACAAAACUGCAGAUGCUCUGUUGAAUCCACUGGAGAUUGUCCUGAUACUAAGGACAAGUAUCAACCAUCUUUCCUGUGAAAAAUUCCCUCUCCUAGUACUUUAGUUCUGUGGAUCCAAAAUUUAUAGCAUUCUUCUACCACCACAGGGGCUCAUAUGACAUUAACAGACAAGACACUUUUCAGAAAGACAGAUGGAGUCUCUCUGUCACCCAGACUGGAAUGCAGUGGCAUGAUCUUGGUUCACUGAAACCUCUGCCUUUCUGGUUCAAGCAAUUCUCAUGUUUCAGCCUCCCAGGCAACGUGUUGGACCUUCCGGAGCUUCUCAGAAGACAGAGGGUUUUCUUUUGAGGCUGUUGUACAGUGGCCUGAUUAUAGCUCACUGUAGCCUCGAAAUUCUGGGCCGAAAUGAUCCGCCUGCCUCAGCCUCCAAAGUAGCUGAGACUACAGGCUGGUCUUGAACUCUUGGGCUGAAGAGAUUCUCCCACCUCAGCCUCCCAAGGUGUUGAGAUUACAAGCAUGAGCCACCUCACCUGGCCAAGAGCUAGUUGUUAAA
rnacentral:lncRNA from 1 species